AUUGAACGCUGGCGGCAGGCUUAACACAUGCAAGUCGAACGAGUGGCGGACGGGUGAGUAAUGCUUGGGAAUCUAGCUCAUGGAGGGGGAAAACUACGGGAAACUGUAGCUAAUACCGCGUACCAUAGGAUGAGCCCAAGUGGGAUUGGGGAGUUGGUGAGGUAAAGGCUCACCAAGGCGACGAUCUCUAGCUGGUCUGAGAGGAUGACCAGCCACAUUGGGACUGAGCCACGGCCCAGACUCCUACGGGAGGCAGCAGUGGGGAAUAUUGCACAAUUGGCGAAAGCCUGAUGCAGCCAUGCCGCGUGUAUGAAGAAGGCCUUCGGGUUGUAAAGUACUUUCAGUCGGGAGGCGUUACCGACAGAAGAAGCACCGGCUAACUCCGUGCCAGCAGCCGCGGUAAUAC
rnacentral:rRNA from 1 species